rnacentral:rRNA from 1 species
GACGAAGGAUGCAAGCGUUAUCCGGAUUCAUUGGGUUUAAAGGGAGCGUAGGUGGCCUUAUAAGUCAGUGGUGAAAUCUUCGAGCUUAACUCGGAAAUUGCCAUUGAUACUGUAGGGCUUGAGUAUAGUUCCGUUGGCGGAAUAUGACAUGUAGUGGUGAAAUACAUAGAGAUGUCAUAGAACACCGAUUGCGAAGGCAGCUGACGAAACUAUAACUGACACUGAGGCUCGAAAAGUGCGUGGAUCAAACAGG